CCUACGGGGGGCAGCAGUGAGGAAUAUUGGUCAAUGGGCGGGAGCCUGAACCAGCCAAGUCGCGUGAGGGAAGACGGUCCUAUGGAUUGUAAACCUCUUUUGUCGGGGAGCAAAGAGAUCACGUGUGGUCAAAAGCGAGAGUACCCGAAGAAAAAGCAUCGGCUAACUCCGUGCCAGCAGCCGCGGUAAUACGGAGGAUGCGAGCGUUAUCCGGAUUUACUGGGUUUAAAGGGUGCGUAGGCGGGACGGUAAGUCAGCGGUAAAAAUGCGGAGCUCAACUCCGGCGAGCCGUUGAAACUGCCGUU
rnacentral:rRNA from 1 species